GACGAACCGUGCGAACGUUAUUCGGAAUUACUGGCGUAAAGCGCGCGUAGGCGGAUCUGUAUGUCCGUAAGUGAAAUCCCGCCGCUCAACGGCGGGGCUGCUUGGGAACGGCAGGUCUGGGGACCGGUAGAGGUCGGUAGAAUUCCCGGUGUAGCGGUGGAAUGCGUAGAGAUCCGGAAGGACACCGGUGGCGAAGGCGGCCUGCUGGGCAGUGGCUG
rnacentral:rRNA from 1 species